AAAGUGCUUGCUCGGUCUACUAACAAUGUUGUAGGGAGAAGCCCUGGCAGAGGGGGAGAGCUGCCCUCUGUGAUACUUCCAUCAUCUUGUACCUUAGUGACUGACUCCCGGUGUUCAGCAGCAAAGAUGGUGUUUUUGUGGGCUUCCUCUGCAUGUCUGCGUAUUAUGUGGCAGCAUUCUGGUUAAGAGCGGGCAAGCAGACAGGCUAUGCAUGGGGUUUCUCCUCGGUUUGUUUCAUCUCCCUGGAAAGCAGACAUCGUGGCUUGAUCUCCAGCAGUUCUGUGGAAUCACGAGUUUUCGAUGUCUGUAUCUCGGGUACUGUUCUGGUUCUGAGGAAAGGCAGAAGUAUCAGAAGGCAGUUCGCCCAGUGUUUUCAGUCCAGAUCUCAUUAACUACCUACCACCUUUGAGUUGGAGCAGUCACAACGAGCCUUGAAGAGUGAGAGGAGCUGGCCAGCAAGUUUUUAAAUAAAUGUAUUGCUGUAAAACUUCUAUGUAACACUGUCAGCAGCUUCAUGCAAUUCCCAGGCUACCAAGUGAAGAGCAGCCACCUCCACCGUGCAUGAGACUCUGCCUCCUCACGUUCCCUAGAGCAAGGGACCCUUUGGAUCGUGAGCCCAAACUCUCCUUCCUCCCUAAGUUGAUUUGUCUCAUGACCAGCAGUGAGAUGCCCUGGUUUUCACCGCUUCUUCUGACUCCAGAGAUUUAAUGUUUUUCAGAAAGCAGUGCAGGAGUUGUUACUGUGGACAGACACACGGACGAAAGUGGAGCUGUGCAAAGCGUGUGUGACUGUGAAGCAUCAGCAUCACAUGGACACUUGAUAACAACUCAAAUUCUCCCACCCUCUACCUGACAGCUCCUCAGUUAGAAACUGCUCAUUAUGCUGCUGACGUCCCUCCACUCAGCAGAGAUGGGGAAAGGGAACAAUGACUCGAUGAUGAGUGGAUAGGAUGGAGAAUUCUACCUCUGAGACAGCACACCCCUUCCCCCCUGCACUCUCCUGACUGUCAACACUGGUGUCUGUCAGCUGGUGGCCAGACAUCUGAACAGACUUUGCCAAUUAGAGAAGUCACACCUCUUGGUUGGCAGGCACACGCUAUUGUGCCUGAGACCACAGCAGAGAGCCAUAUGGCUUUCACAAAAAGGAUUCGCCAAGGGAGAGACAGGGGGUGCCCCUGAGGGCACCUGUGUCAGGUGGGGAGGCCCUUUCUGAUGAAGUUCACAGGUAAAGCUGGAGGGUGGGCUGUUAUUUGACGUGGCUAUAACUCAGAGCUAUUGUGACUCCACUUCAAAUCAUCACUUCCUUCGGGGGACGCUUGUAUAGAAUUUGUCUUGGCAGCCUGAAGCCCCUUCUGUUCUUUUGUUCUUCGGCAUUUCCCCAGGUCUCUGAUGGUGAACUCUUGAGUGUUGCUCCGCUGUGUGGGGGAAAAGAGAACAGGGGAAUAACAGUUGCCGGUCCCCGCCC